CGGGACGGGUGAGUAAUGUCUGGGAAACUGCCUGAUGGAGGGGGAUAACUACUGGAAACGGUAGCUAAUACCGCAUAAUGUCUGCGGACCAAAGCGGGGGACCUCCGGGCCUCGCGCCAUCAGAUGAACCCAUAUGGGAUUAGCUUGUAGGUAAGGUAACGGCUUACCUAGGCGACGAUCCCUAGCUGGUCUGAGAGGAUGAUCAGCCACACUGGGACUGAGACACGGCCCAG
rnacentral:rRNA from 1 species